rnacentral:rRNA from 1 species
AGGACGAACGCUGGCGGCGUGCCUAACACAUGCAAGUCGAGCGGGGACAUGCGACGGAUAUGAAGUUUCGGAUGGAAUUGAAGAUGUAUGUUCUAGCGGCGGACGGGUGAGUAACGCGUGAACAAUCUGUCCUUCACAGGGGGAUAACACAGCGAAAGUUGUACUAAUACCGCAUGAGACCACAGUGAGGCAUCUUACAGGGGUCAAAGGAGCAAUCCGGUGAAGGGUGAGUUCGCGUCCGAUUAGAUAGUUGGUGAGGUAACGGCCCACCAAGUCGACGAUCGGUAGCCGACCUGAGAGGGUGAUCGGCCACAUUGGGACUGAGACACGGCCCAAACUCCUACGGGAGGCAGCAGUGGGGAAUAUUGGGCAAUGGGGAAACCCUGACCCAGCAACGCCGCGUGAGGGAAGAAGGUUUUCGGAUCGUAAACCUCUGUCCUAGGUGAAGAGAAAGAGACGGUAGCCUAGGAGGAAGCCCCGGCUAACUACGUGCCAGCAGCUGC